rnacentral:rRNA from 1 species
GAUGAACGCUGGCGGCGUGCUUAACACAUGCAAGUCGAACGGAGCUUGUCUGAUAGAGGAUUCGUCCAAUUGAUUACAAGCUUAGUGGCGGACGGGUGAGUAACGCGUGAGCAACCUGCCUUUCAGAGGGGGAUAACGUUUGGAAACGAACGCUAAUACCGCAUAACGUUGUUUUGCCGCAUGACAGAACAACCAAAGGAGCAAUCCGCUGAAAGAUGGGCUCGCGUCCGAUUAGAUAGUUGGUGGGGUAACGGCCGUACCAAGUCGACGAUCGGUAGCCGGACUGAGAGGUUGAUCGGCCACAUUGGGACUGAGACACGGCCCAGACUCCUACGGGAGGCAGCAGUGGGGGAUAUUGCACAAUGGGCGAAAGCCUGAUGCAGCAACGCCGCGUGAGGGAUGACGGUUUCGGAUUGUAAACCUCUGUCUUUGGUGACGAAACAAUGACGGUAGCCAAGGAGGAAGCCACGGCUAACUACGUGCCAGCAGCCG